rfam:Schistosoma rodhaini strain Burundi genome assembly, scaffold: SROB_scaffold0006006
GUACUGCUGAGGAGUCCCACAAUAGGACGAAACGGCCGUCCAAUGC